CAACUUAUAUUCAGUUUCACUCUGCUGCACAAAGCUUACACAACCUGUAGAACUAAAUCUGAUAAAACAUGAAUAAAUACGUCUUGACAGAGAUCAUAUUCUGCUUCUUCCUCGUCCUCAUCGCUGUUUCAGCUGUGCCGUUGUUGGACUGGCAAGAGCGAUGUCUCCCAUCCAGUGCAACCUGCCGUACUUUCGCGGAUUGUUGCAGCAGGAAUUGUCUUUGGAAUCGGUGCAACUGAAAAUUGAGAAGAUGAUUUUGUAAUUAAUUACAGUCUCCUAGCAUACCUUUGCAAUUUUUUAACAGCUUAUACAUUGAUGGAGCUUUAAUAAUGACUUUAUCAUUGGACUAAAUAAAAUAAAAUUAGCGGCAUGAAUACAGAA